rnacentral:rRNA from 1 species
GAUGAACGCUAGCGGCAGGCUUAAUACAUGCAAGUCGAGGGGCAGCAUGUCCCGUAGCAAUACGGGAUGAUGGCGACCGGCAAACGGGUGCGGAACACGUACAGAACCUUCCUUCGAGCGGGGAAUAGCCCAGAGAAAUUUGGAUUAAUACCCCAUAGUACAACGGAGUGGCAUCACUUUGUUGUUAAAGAUUUAUCACUUGAAGAUGGCUGUGCGGCUGAUUAGGUAGUUGGCGGGGUAACGGCCCACCAAGCCUGCGAUCAGUAACUGGUGUAAGAGCACAACCAGUCACACGGGCACUGAGACACGGGCCCGACUCCUACGGGAGGCAGCAGUAAGGAAUAUUGGUCAAUGGACGAAAGUCUGAACCAGCCAUGCCGCGUGGAGGAUGAAGGUCCUCUGGAUUGUAAACUUCUUUUAUAUGGGACGAAAAAAGGGUUUUCUAACUCGUCUGACGGUACCAUAUGAAUAAGCACCGGCUAACUCCGUGCCAGCCGCCGCCGUAACAC